rnacentral:rRNA from 1 species
GAUGAACGCUGGCGGCGUGCCUAAUACAUGCAAGUCGAGCGAACAGAUGAGGAGCUUGCUCCUCUGACGUUAGCGGCGGACGGGUGAGUAACACGUGGAUAACCUCCCUAUAAGACUGGGAUAACUUCGGGAAACCGGAGCUAAUACCGGAUAAUAUAUUGAACCGCAUGGUUCAAUAGUGAAAGACGGUUUUGCUGUCACUUAUAGAUGGAUCCGCGCCGCAUUAGCUAGUUGGUAAGGUAACGGCUUACCAAGGCAACGAUGCGUAGCCGACCUGAGAGGGUGAUCGGCCACACUGGAACUGAGACACGGUCCAGACUCCUACGGGAGGCAGCAGUAGGGAAUCUUCCGCAAUGGGCGAAAGCCUGACGGAGCAACGCCGCGUGAGUGAUGAAGGUCUUCGGAUCGUAAAACUCUGUUAUUAGGGAAGAACAAAUGUGUAAGUAACUAUGCACGUCUUGACGGUACCUAAUCAGAAAGCCACGGCUAACUACGUG